rnacentral:misc_RNA from 1 species
AAAGUCGUAACAAGGUUUCCGUAGGUGAACCUGCGGAAGGAUCAUUACCUUUCAAUGCAGCAGAAUUGGGAUGGUUGAGUAUCUCGCCUUUCAAUCUUGCCUGUAUUCCACCCUUGUUUUUCAUACACUAUUAUUUCCUCGGCAGGCUUGCCUGCCGGGUGAAACCAUUUAUAACCUUUUUAAUUUUCAAUCAGCGUCUGAAAAAAUUAAUAAUUACAACUUUCAACAACGGAUCUCUUGGUUCUG